AACGUAGGUUCCGAGCGUUAUCCGGAUUUACUGGGCGUAAAGCGCGUUCAGGCGGUUUGGCAAGUCGGGCAUGAAAUCUCUCGGCUCAACCGGGAGAGGUUGUCCGAUACUGCUGGACUUGAGGGCAGUAGAGGGUGGUGGAAUUCCGGGUGUAGUGGUGAAAUUCGUAGAUAUCAGGAGGAACACCAAUUGCGAAGGCAGCUCGCUGGGACGUUACUGACGCUGAGACGCGAAAGCGUGGGGAGCAAACAGG
rnacentral:rRNA from 1 species